GCGAUGAUGGGCGCGCUGCCGAAGAACUUGCUGAUGCAGGUGGCGACGAAGACCACGGCGAAGGAGGUAUGGGACUCCCUCAAAGUGCGCUUCGUCGGCGCCGAUCGGGUGCGGGCGGCGAGGCUCGGGACGCUGCGCGGUGAGUUGGAUCGCCUGUGGAUGGACAACGGUGAGGAGCUGGACGACUACGCCGGGAAGGUCAGUGGCAUGGCGAGGUACGCGAUGCUCGGGUCGACGAUCGACGACAGCGCCAUGGUGAAGAAGUUGCUCGACACUGUGCCGGACGGCCUGUACGCCGCGGUGCCCGGAAUCGAGCAAUUCUGCAACGUGGAGGAGAUGGUGUUCGAGGAGGUGCUCGGGCGGCUCAAGGCAUUCGAGGAGCGGACGCGGCGACGCGUGCGGGCCGGCGGCGAGCGCGCGGACGGUCAGCUGAUGAUGACAGCGGCACAGUGGGCGGCUCGGGAGCGAUGGCAAGGCGGACGCGGCUUCGGCGACCACGACAACGACGGCACGGCGAGCACAUCGUCAGGCUACAGAGGGAAGCGUCGUGGACACUGCUACAAAUGCGGGGAGCACGCGCACAUCCGGCGCGAGUGCCCGCAGCUCCGGAAAGGACCGGCGGCGGAGCAGGCUCUCUUGGCCGACGCCAACGUCGACGACGACGGACUCCUC
rnacentral:rRNA from 1 species